AGCAAAAAACCUAGAGCGAGCCCUGGUAGGGGCAGGGCAUUCAAGAGGGCUGAGAGGAGAGCGGAGCUGGCCGAGGAGCCCGCUGUGUGAAGCCAGUUGCACAGGCAGCGGAGUCAUUGGCAUGCGGCAGGUGGCGCCUGAGAGCCACGCUGGACUGUGGCUGGCGACUCCCUCCCAGUGGGCUCGCACAUGGCACGCGCCUCUGUGAAAAGCCGCGCGCCGCUCUGGGUCAGCUCACUUGUGCCGGGAGAGCCUCAGCAGGAGGAGCGGCCCGUGAGUCUCCGGCUGCUGCUGCUGCAGGCGCUCCAAAGCUCCGCCGCCUUCCCCCUUCCAGCCCCGAGUCCGAUGCAGCCUCAGUGUCGCCCAGCGGGUACGCGCCGAGGAGGCAUGCCAAGGAGCGGGGCGGCGGCAGCGGCACUGCCCUCUGCCUGCAUCCCUCACCCUUACUGCUGCGCGGGCAGAGGGGGCGAGAAACCAGGCACCAGAAGCUGCGUCUGCUUUUAAGAGGCGUUUCCCCCUUUUCCCCGCGGGAUCCUGGUCCCCAGCCUCCCGCCCUCCCCGUCCCAUCCACUAUGGUGCUUCAGCUUGGGACUUUGCACCCCUGUUCCUGUGCAUGGCUCCAUUGCGUGCCGGAGGAGAACUCGGUACCGUCAGAGCCCUAAUUAGGAAGGAUGGCUUCGGGGGAUGAGCACAGCCUCAGGAGCGGCGAGGAGAGCCAGCUGCAGCUGACUUGCUGAGGAGGGUGUGAUCCCCAGGCUGGCUGUGGGGGUCCCCCAGACUUCAGCCCACCUCCCCCGCUCUGUCAGGAUCUGCGGUCCGGGUCCGGAAGAUCCCCGCCUUGUAUCAGCGCAGCAGCAGCAGCACAUCGCGGCCAACUUGCUGGGAGAGAGCAGCCCCUGGACUGGGUUUCGGGGCUCCCCCCUCUCUGUGAGGCGCUGCUGUCCGGGCUGAGGAGCCCCUCCUCCCACUCCCUGAACCCAGCCGCAGCAGAGCCAGGGGCUGACUUGUUGGGGAGCGGGCAGAGCCCGGGCUGGCUUUGGGGUCCCCUCGUCUGCUGCCGGGGCGGCCGCGGGCAGGGAGGUUGGACUUGGGCUGCCACCAUGUCUAAGGCGGCGGACAGCGGCGGGGCGGUCCCAGCCGAGGACCUGUCCAAGGUGUCCGACGAGGAGCUGCUGAAGUGGAGCAAGGAGGAGCUGAUCCGCAGCCUGCGCAGGGCCGAGGCGGAGAAGAUGAGCGCGAUGCUGGACCACAGCAACCUCAUCCGGGAGGUGAACCGCCGCCUGCAGCUCCACCUCGGCGAGAUCCGCGGCCUCAAGGAUAUCAAUCAGAAGUUGCAAGAAGAUAACCAAGAACUGAGAGACCUUUGCUGUUUUCUGGAUGAUGAUAGGCAGAAAGGCAAGAAGGUAUCACGAGAGUGGCAGAGAUUGGGCAGGUACAGUGCUGGGGUUAUGCACAAAGAGGUUGCCUUAUAUUUACAGAAACUGAAAGAAUUGGAAGUGAGACAAGAAGAAGUGGUUAAAGAAAACAUGGAACUGAAAGAACUAUGUGUUUUGCUGGAUGAAGAGAAAAGUGGUGGAGCAGGCAGCAGGAGUUCCAUUGACAGCCAAAUCAGCCUCUGCCAGCUAAAUGCAACAAGUACUUACAUACGAGAUGUUGGUGAUGGGAGCAGCACCUCUAGCACUGGAAGUACGGACAGUCCAGACCAUUAUAAACACCAUCCAAAUACUAGUCCUGAACAUCUCCAAAAAAGUAGGGGUGAGGGAAGCCCGGAGCAUCAAAAACAUAGGAGUGUUAGCCCAGAGCAUCUCCAAAAACCUAAGAGUUCUGGAAGUCCAGACCACCAGAAGCAUCUAAAAGGACCAAGUCCAGAACAUCAUAAAAAUGUUGGCAAAGGUAGUCCUGAACAGCAAAAGCACACCAGUAGUAGUCCAGAAACUCUUCCAAAGCACAUUUUAAGUAGUAGCCCUGAACAUUUUCAAAAACAUAGACCUAGUAGUAGCCCAGAGCAUCAAAAGCACAGCAGUGGCAGCCCCGAACAUCUUCAAAAACACACAUUGAGUGGAAGCACAGAACAUCUCCAGAAAGUGAGGGGGACAAGCCCUGAGCAUCUCAAACAACAUUAUGGGGGGAGUCCGGAGCAUCUCAAACAUCUCAGUGGAGGCAGCAGAGAAGGUACCCUCAGAAGACAAGUAGCAGAUGAUAUGUUACCUCAUCACAGGAGUGUAUACAAUGGAAUGAAUGAUUAGUGACUAGGACGUUGUUUCAGCACCCAUUGAAGUCUAUGGAAAGGAUCAUUGAUUUCAGUGGGAACCAUCAGGAGCUUGGAGGAUCUCCGAAUGUUUGUCUACCUGAAAUCUCGAACCACCAAGACCAAAGGCUCUGCAGUCUUAACUAAACAGCAGAAGACACCAGAAUCAGUGUCUCCUCCAGGUACAGGUGCUUAGUAUUCUUUGAUUUAUUCCUUGUUGGAACUUGAUAAGAAAUGAGGCCUGAUACACUCUGCAAUCAAUAUGCGGAAUGCUACAUUUCAUCUAGUUGCUACUACAGAGCAGGUGUAUAGUUUGGAGAGCUACGUAGACAAAGAGCAUCUUGGAUAUAUUCAACCAAACUCUGUUAGCUUUUGGGUAUCUAGACUCAUAUCUCUUUUCAUUUCCAUAUCAAGGUACUAACAUGGAAAAUGAGGAGAACUCAUCUUUUAGAACCUACUGAAAAAUUGUACUCAAGCUAGUAAAGAUGAAUCAGUGGAUUAACUGAGAGCACGAAAAUGACUGAUCAGACUAUUUUGGAAUCACGGCUCUCAGAGUUAUAUCACCUCAAGACACCCAGUCAUCCUGGUUUUGUUGAGAAUUAGUUGGAUAGUGCCAAGUCAAUGUGUUGAUCACAGUCCUGCUGUUACAUCCAGGAUUCCAGACCCAAGGGACAGAGAAAAGAUACUUGUGGAAGUCUAAGGCAAAAAGAGAGUCUGGAUAAAGGGAGCUGUGUUAUCCUCUUUCUUGACAUUUCUGCAACAAUUCAGAUUAAACAGAGGGUUUUUUUAAAUACACACAUAAACAUUUAUCAACAGCCACUUGGAAAUGCAUACUGUAGAUUGUGAAACUAGGAGUCUGUUUCCAGGACAACACAUUUUUAUUCUGGUACUCUGUCAUCUGAAGGUUUUUUAUUUUAAAGCCAGCAAACUCAGUUGCUGGAAGGAUUCUGAUAUCCAUUUAUACAAGAGGGUUGUUUGAGUGACUGAAUUAUAUUCCAAUGUGAAAUCACUAUUUUUUGCUUUGAGAACAAAAUAUUGGUUUGAAUGUACUAAUGUGCAAGAGCUCUAUGUUUUAUUAAUGUGGCAAAUCUCAGUUUUGUAUGUUUCUUGUUAUUAUGGUUACAUUUGGAAGAGAUGUUUGUCAGCAGUUUGUCAGCAACAGUUUGUUGCUGUUAGAUAUCAGUCUUAUCACUUCCUUGCUCUAAGAUUUCAAAUAUCUGCAUAAUGGAAAAAUAGAAUUAAAUAGGUGACAUUUGCCCCCAAAUUUAAUAUUUUUAAUAACAUACUUUUACAAACCCUCAAAUUAUUUAACAUUUCAGUGAAUUUACAUGAAAUUCCAUUUAAUCUCCCCUGUUCCCCAGAAAUUCUCUGCCUUCUUUGCAACCCCAAAAUACGGAGUACUAAUGAAUGAGAACAUGAAAUUGAAAUUGGCUGGAAAGAGACUACACUCCAGAGUGAAACUGAAUGUAUUUUCAUUGUCCUAAUUGAGAGAAAUACGAAGAGUCAAAACAAACAGCACUAAUAGUGAGAAAUGUUGGUGUCUCAGAGAAUGAGGAGCUCCCUAAAUCAAAACACUGACUCAUCCAGUAUUUCUUCUUUCCCUCUCAUGGCACUCUAACCAAUCUCCCCAUUACUGUCAUCAUAAUUGAGAGGGGCAUUCCUUAUGUGAAGUUGCUAGGUAGACAGACAGCAGACAGAUGACAUUCUCUUUGUUUGUCUCUCUUGAUCUCACAGUGCUUUUUGCACUGUGACAGGCUGGUAGAGGAAUGGAGAGAUAGCAUAAGUGAGGAGAGAGGCCGGUGGCACACAGGCUAGCCUCUUAGGGAGGGCAGCAGCAGGCCAAAAUCAGGAGAUGGUUUGAGUAAGUUGGGAACACAGGAGUUUGUGGCCAACUCUGGGAACUUUACAGGUGUAGACAGUUUUACCUGUGGUUAUCAAAGCUGCUUUUAUUAGUUACCUUCAGGAAAGGGCUUCCCAGGUUGGCCAGAGCAGAACAGAAACAUUUGGCCAUGACUCCUUUUAAGGUGGUUCCUCAGUUCAUGAUGAAGCUUCCCUUGCAGCAGGAUGUCUGGAUAUGUCCUGAGUAUCUGUUGUGCAAUUCCUCCAAUGUCAUUAUCAUGAGCUUGAUUCCCGUGCAUGACAAUGAAGCCAGGCAGUCAGAAGGCCUGAUUCUUAUUUAAAUUGUUCUGGCAGUGUAAAGGAGCUUCAGUGUAAAUGAGAAUAAGGCCCAGUGAGCCUGCUUUAAAGGAAGGAGUUAUGUGGGUUUGGUGAAUAAAAGGGUAUUUCUCCCAUCAACAUCACUGUCACAGUGGCAGCUAUUGGGCUCAAUUCACCCUCACUGGCAUAGGGAAAAGUUACAUGCGCCUGCCUGUGCCAGCAGGGACAGCUGUGCCCCAGAGGGUUUCACUUUGGAGGAUGAGCAUGCUACAGGUUUCCUCUGGAGGAUGAGCAUGCUACAGGUUUCCUCUGGAGGAAGGCUGCUUUAAAUUAAAUUGGGGGCAGAGGAGCCCACUGGCAAAGGCUCCAGUGUGCUGGAUCAGUGUGCUGGAUCAGUGCCCCAACCAUGAUCCGUGCUUCCCAUUUUGGGAACAUGCUAGCCAACUGCAGAACUCACUGUGGACUUUCAACCACCCUAGAUUAUUUUGCCUAACCGAGGGCAGAGUCUAGCUACUGGAUUAAUAGGAAUUCUACAGAGCUUCUGGGAGACUGCAGCUGCCUAGGUUAAUUUCAACUGGAUUGAGCAUUUAAUACUGUAAGUAGUAAUGCCAUCCAAUCCUGCAUUGUGAGCAGAAAUUCUGUUAAAAUAUUGGUGUGAUGGUCUGUCUGUUUCCUGUAGCAGAGAUUGCUGAGGGCAAUAUUGGUUUAUAUUACAGGUUUUGCCAUAGUUUGUGUUUUUGUGUGUUCAAUAAUAGAUGCAUGGAAGUAAAUUGUCCUUGAUAGCUAUUCCGAUAAUGCUUGGCAUUUUACUGUGUGCUGUUUUCUUUCAAGGUUUCUUUCAAGGUGCUGUGUACUUCCUGGCACCUCCUUGAGUGCCUCAGCUCUCUGAGAGAUCAGGGCACUGCACACCAGUUAGGAAGCAUUCCUUACCUGGUAGGAUGGGGCCAUUAUAGCAGUUCAGCUCCUGUAUCUUCUGUUUGCUCAAUAAUCCUUGUUUUUGUAAAGCCAUCUUUUUUUAAAAGUAUUGUGCAGAAAAUUGAAAAAUAAAAGAUCAAGCAGCUACUGAAAUAAACACACAAUGUAGUAUCAUCCCCAGGGUAAUGUCUACAGUGUGUUUAAGCAAAACAGCUGGUAAAAGUAGGAACUGAAAAUCCCUAAUAUAUUGGUCAUCAGACUAAUCUCGUUAAUUAAUUUUCUGGCAAUCAGCAAUUGUAGUAAGUCCGCUCCCUUCAGCCCCAGGAUACAUCCCCUGACCUGAAAUUUGCUGCUCUGAUUCUAAUUGUAUAAACUGACUGCUGCAUUCCUCAGAGACCUGUUGAGCUGCUGACAGGCUCAAGUGAACACUGCGGUCUCCUGGAUGGAAACAGUUGCAGUGGCCUGGGUGAUUGGGGCACUGUAGCUUUGAUUGUUUUUUACACCUGUAGCUUGGAUGCUGUGACGAGCGAUCUGAAAAUCCUCUCCUCUUUUAUGCCUUUUAGUUGCAGGCCCCAGUCUGCAAAGAGUUGACAUAGGCAUAACCUGAGGGUGCAUAUGUGUUUCAGGACCCGCUCUGUACCUGAAUGAAAAAAGAUAUGAGUCCAUUACAGUGUCACCUGGGGAGCCUUGGCUUCUAAGCUCCAGCUCGAGAAACUCAUACUUUCAACUCUGAAGGUCCCUUGUUAAGUCCCCAAGAAGGUGGCCAUCAGACUGGUAUUGCACAACUUUAGUUUGUGAGUGUUGAUUUCAGUAGAACUGCUUGCAUGCAUAACAUUAUGUAUGUGCGUAAGUCUUUGUAGGGUUGAGGCCUUGAUGUUUCGAUAGAGCUGCUGGUGAACUGAUAAAUCGAAGCUAGCCAGCUUCUCAGAUCUAAUCCUUUUCAUCAGUUGAUUUCAAGCGCUUUACAAAGGAGUUCAGUAUCAUUAUCCCUGUUAUACAGAUGGGGAAUCUGAGAGUGACUUGCCCAAGGUCACCCAGCAGCAAAGCUAGGUGUGGAACCCAGAUAUCCUGAGUCCCAAGCCAGUGCGCUGGCCACUAGGCAACACUAUCUCCUCUUAUAGGUCUUUUAAAGAUAAUAUCUUAGGGGAAAUAAAGCUUUACUAUCAUGCAUAGAAAACCUCAUUUUUAAUCAUUAUCAUGAUAUCAACAUUAUCAGUGUGUUUCCUUUUAAAAUUAGUUUCUUAGGGAGAUCUCUUUUUUUGCUAGGCCAAAGGGAAACUAAGCUACUUUCUAAUUUUUGAUGCAGAAAACCCAUGAAUAGAUGGCAAUGUGCUUGUAAUGAGAUUGUCUUAAAGAUCCUUGCUCACAAGUAAAAAAUGCAAUUUAAGGCCCUCUCUCUCCCAAAAAUCUUAAUAAAGAAAGAAUUGAUGCUUUAAGUAAAAAUUGGUGAAAGGAUUACAUGCUGUGAUCAUGUUUGCGAAGGCAGCUUUAAUUUCUAAUCUUGUUUCUUGUGACCUGUUUUUCAUGUUACAGUGUAGUGCAACAACCUUAGUCAUUGUACUACUACUAUAGACAACUUCUGGUGGCUGUGUAAAUCUUAGCCUCUGUAGUGACUGGUACUGUAACACCUCCUGUUAUAUGUACAGAAAGAUACCGCAAUUAUUGCAGGUUCCUGUGAUGUUUAAUGUUGAAUUUUUAAUGGAAUUUUUUAUUAUAAAGCCUGUUUGAGUGCAAUUUAAUCUCUCUAAAUCAUCCAUAGAUUAAAUCUCAGAUGAGGUUCCAUUACUAUUUUAAUCCUACAUAAAAACUAGUGCAAACGUCAGGUUAUGUGUCCUGAGCAUGAUUUACCAACAUUUUUGAUGGUCUUUUAAUUAUCUAUUUCUUAAUUAGAUUAGUCUGAUUAUUGACUCCUUGAAAUAUGUGCAUAUUUUAAGGAUCACAAGGCAGUAGUUUUUCAGAAAGACUUCAUUACGUUUUGUUUUACAGUCAGUAUUUCUUGCAAGCUGAAGUGUAGAACAGAUGGUGUCACUUAUGAUGUAACACUCUUGGAUAAAGGUCUUUGCUGUAAAACAUUCUGCAGAGACAUAUAAUUUUCUCCUGUGAAAAUAUUCCUAAUGUAUUUAGUCAAUUUUAUAAUAAUAGUGUGGGCUUAAAGCAUGUGUGCUACUAAAAACCUUUUACUGGGUAUAGGUCAAAUAAUUAAAUCAUUGCCCCAAUUUAAGAUAAAAUGAGCAAUAAGUGGUUAGAAGUUUAAAGUGCCUAAUCAAAAAAUAAGUAGUUUAAUACAGACAGUGAAAAUAGCACAAGAAAUCAAUUAUUUUUAGCAAAACGCACAUAAGAAAUUCUCUAAGAGUCAAACUAUCAAGGCUCAUACCUCAUCAUUUUACUUUUAAGAUAAAUGCAUUUGAUAUGGAAAUCACUGAGAGACAACCACCAUGGGACCCCCAAUGUCAUUUGUCAGAGAAGAACCAUAUUAUAUGUGAUUCCUUCUUGUUUUGUGUUUAGUCUAGUUUUAAAUAUCCGAAGUGAUAGUGCUUCUGCACUGCAUGAGCAUGUUCAGCUUGAGUUGUCAGUGAGCCAUCCAGGUUGAAACCUCAGAGAAAGAAAUUUAAAUAUACAGGACUGGACAGGCAGAGACUGGUCAGGCAUGGGGAAACAGAUUUGAAAGCCAUCAGAAUAAAGAUGAUAGUUAAAUUUUUGUGAAUGGAUGAGGUUGGCCAAGGCCAAGCAACAGAGUGGACAAGGACAAAGCCCUGUAGGUCCUUUGCAGAGGGAGUGAGAGAGAAAUCAUCAAAGGAUACAUUGAAAAGGUAAAGGGAAGGGAGUGGAGGCAAUGAAAGCCGAGGGGGGACAGAAUGUCCUGGAGAAGGGGGUGAUCAACAAUAUCAAAAGCCAUGGGAAGGUUGAGGCUGGAGUACAGGUGGGAACUUUGUAUGUGGGGUAGGGCAGAAAGAGGAAAUGGCAGGAAUCUCACAGUGGUGGAGAGGGGAAAUUGAGUGAUAUCAGGGAAGUCUCCUGUUGAUAGAGAAAGGGGAUUGAUUGGAGAUAUGGUAGUUCAGAGUGGAGGUGUAAAGAGACCUGUUGAUUGCCAUACUUCUUAUGAAGAUUUCUAGGAUGGACACUGCCUGGUAUUUUAAAAAUUAAAGCUGUACAUUGUAAAGGAAAUGACAUUAAAUGCCUUCCUCUGAUUGAGCAGCUCCAGUACUUGAUGAGAUAUUCUUUUGCUUCUCAAUAAUGUGAUAGCCUUGUUUGUACAGAAAGUCUAGCACAGCUAAACAGUAGGUGGGAUUAUAUCCGUUUCUCUCAAAAAUGCUGACAGACAAUGCUCCUGUAGCUUCUGAGGUUUGAAUUGUUAGUGAAUACAGAAUUGAGCCUAGUUCAUUCCCUAUAUGCAGGAUGGGGUUUGUUUGGAACUAGUCACCAGCUAUAUUGUUCAGUUCAGGCAUGGAUUUUUAGGGGUUUUUUUGGAGGGAGGAUUUCAAUUAUGAUGUUUUGGUCAUUUACAAUAAGAAAUUAAAAUUAUACUGUUCUGACGCAUAUUGGUACAUAUGUAAAUACGGAAUUAACAGUGUUAAGCAAAUUAUUGUAUGUUGACCAUAUAUUGUUAUAUAAUUAACAUUUCCCUUUUUUUUAAAGUUAUUUAAGUACAGCUUUAAUAUGGUGUGUGUUUUUGCUUGUAUAAUAACAAAACAAACUUCAUAUUAAUGUAGGCAUAGAUCUUAAUGCAGCAUGUGUAAAUCUGGAGAUUAUGGCAUUUUCCCGACACACUUCAUUUUGUUAUUAUACAAGCAGAGCUGAAUGCUCUUUCUCUCUCUCUCUCAUUGUAACCUGUCUAUCCACGGUGCAGAUACAGUACUGGUUUUUAACAGGGCUACUGCAGGCACUCCCUGUUCAGAGGUAUCUUGCAUUCGCCUAGGGCCGUUUAAAACCAUUAUUCCUUUUGGAACCAUUUAGAAAUGUUACAUUCAGGACUGGCUCUAGGCACCAGCAAACCAAGCAUGUGCUUGGGGCAGCACGAUUCCAGGGGCGGCAUUCCGGGAAGUUUUUUUUUUGCUUCCGCA